rnacentral:rRNA from 1 species
GUGAACGCUGGCGGCGUGCCUAACACAUGCAAGUCGAGCGAGUUUUUACAGAACACCGUAAGAAUUAGCGGCAAACGGGUGAGUAACACGUGGGAAACCUGCCUUAGAGUGGAGGAUACCCCCGAGAAAUCGGGGUUAAUACUCCAUAAGACCACAAUCUGGCAUCAGAAUGAGGUCAAAGACGCAAGUCGCUUUGAGAUGGUCCCGCGUCCUAUCAGCUAGUUGGUGAGGUAACGGCUCACCAAGGCUAUGACGGGUAGCCGGCCUGAAAGGGUGUACGGCCACACUGGAACUGAGACACGGUCCAGACUCCUACGGGAGGCAGCAGUGGGGAAUUUUGGACAAUGGGCGAAAGCCUGAUCCAGCGACGCCGCGUGGAGGAUGAAGGCCUUCGGGUUGUAAACUCCUUUUGGCAGGGACGAAUAAAUUGACGGUACCUGCAGAAUAAGCCACGGCUAACUACGU